GUAUGGCCAGUGCUCCGGAUUGCAGCACCUGUAAUUGCAUUUAGCGGUGAACUCAAGAGAAUAUGUGUCUUCAUUCAGCUAUUCAGAGGAGGGUAAAACGAUUGGGAUCCAUAAAGCAUAUUCUUGUUCGUUUCUGCCAUGGUCACAAGAUGGGUAUCAGAAGUGUUUCUCCUGAGCUCCGCAAAUGUUAAGGCCUAAAGCUAUUGGGUAAUACUUACUGGAAAAUUACAAUUUUUUAUGCAAACUCCUAUUCCCCUGGAAAAGCUAUUAUUGGAUUUUAAAUAGUUCGCGCAGCUGGCAAUGCAACCUGCAACCGGUUUGCGCACCCCGCCGGUGUGGGGUGAAUCUGUUGCUCGAAUUCGUUAAUCUUCAUGUCAUGGAGAUUACUCACCCCCAGCGGCCCCAGCAGCCCCAGCAGCCCCAGCAGCAGCAGCAGCGGCAGGCAGAUCAGCGACCGUUGGCCCAUUGCGAUCUGUAGGUCUCGCCUCCGCUGUAGUCGGAAAACUGCACUAAGCUGUAGAGAGCCGGCCGGACGGAGCCGGUGUCUCGAUAACGAUGCUGGACAAUAAUUUAAGCAUAUCUGGACUAUGAAGAUUAUACAAUCUGCGCCUCCCAUUACCAUGUGUUGAUGAUGUCAGAGCUGUCCCGACGGCGGAGGGGGAGGGGAGGGGGGAGAGGUGGCAGUAAUCGUAGUGCGAUAGAAAACAGCAAGCAGAAGCCUCCACUUCGCUUCGCUUCGCCUUCCUCCUCCACUCAAAGUUUUGAAGCGAAAUUGGCAGUCGCAGCUGCCGUUCGUCAUCUGUUUUAUGUUAACACAUAAGUCGCGGAUCUGCGUUCCGAGUGUUCGUUCAGGUCUUCUUCAGACAUCGCUAUAUGGAUCGCCUAGAUCAUGUGCAUAUGGAACGCAACGGCAGCGGCAACGGCAACGGCAACGGCAACGGCAUUUUCGUAACAUUCCACACUCGCAUUUUGGUUGUAAACAAGAUUUUCUUUUUUCUUUCAUAUAA